AUUAAAGAAUCGCCCCGUUUUUUGAAAUGGGUUCUAUUCCCAAACCGUGUAUACAUACCUUUGUUGCUUUGGCAGGCCGCCUUCUAGGCGUCGGCUCCGGCUGACUGCGCCUGCCAGAGGACCCAAACUCUUUUGUUUAGUGAUGUCUGAGUACUAUAUAAUAGUUAAAACUUUCAACAACGGAUCUCUUGGUUCUGGCAUCGAUGAAGAACGCAGCGAAAUGCGAUAAGUAAUGUGAAUUGCAGAAUUCAGUGAAUCAUCGAAUCUUUGAACGCACAUUGCGCCCCUUGGUAUUCCGAGGGGCAUGCCUGUUCGAGCGUCAUUAUAACCACUCAAGCCUCGGCUUGGUCUUGGGGUUCGCGGUCUCGCGGCCCUUAAAAUCAGUGGCGGUGCCGUCUGGCUCUAAGCGUAGUAAUUUUCUCGCUAUAGGGUCUAGGCGACCACCUGCCAGAACCCCCCAUUCUUUACGGUUGACCUCGGAUCAGGUAGGGAUACCCGCUGAACUUAAGCAUAUCAUAGC
rnacentral:rRNA from 1 species